AUGCCGUCAGCGCCUGGGUAGAAGACAGCCCACCUGAUGAACUUUCAUAAGGUGCAUUUGUUACAGAGUGAGGUUUUCCUAAUGUCCUGUGUGCACUUUAUGAUCUCAAGCCAGACUGCUGUGUAUAAACACAGGAUAACAAUUGGAACUCUGUUCUCCAGGUGUCCUUGCUGAGAAGGGGACUGUAAGUCACAUCUGUCUG